rnacentral:lncRNA from 1 species
AGAAGAGAGAAGAGAUUCAGAUUCAGCAUUCUUAAACAUUACAGGUUCGGUUUAAGUGUUUUAGUUCAGUUAAAGUUCAGUUUAAGUGCUAAAGUUCAGGUUUUAGUUCAGGUUAUGAGAGAGAGGAGACAUAAGAGAAGAGAUUAAGAGAGGAGAGGAGAUAAGAGAGGAUAGAUUUUAGUUCAGGUUUUAGUUGGGGUUUUAGUUAAGGUUUUAGUUCAGGUUCAAGAUAGAUUGAGAUUGAGAGGAGAGGAGAAUAGAUUGAGAUUGAGAGAGAAGAUUUGACUGCAUCAUUAACAACAGAGUAUAGAACAUUCUUAGCAGCAAACAAGCUCCACAUCAACAACUAAUGCUCCUAGCAAUCAGAAACUCAAUUAACAACUCAAUGGCACUAAAAAGAUGCUUUAUGUGGCAAUCUCAAUUAACAACUCAAUGGUACAACAUGCAUCAUAGCAUUCUCAAUAUACUAGAAUUCUUAAUCCUGCAGAUACCCAGUGCAGAUAGAGUACUUAUCUUACUCCUGUAGAUGGUGCUGAUCUUGUAGAGCAGUACCCAAUGCUCCACUCCUGUAGAUGGUGGGGGAAAAAAAGUUUAAGUCAACUCCACUCAAACUGUACAAUCUCAUGUUAAUCUAAACAGAAACAGAAGGAGUAUUUUUACAAUGCUAAUUUAAUCUGUACUUCUGCUAAUCUAAACAGAAACAGAAGGAAUACAAUGCUAAUCUAAUUAAACACUCAACUACUCCUAUACUUGUACAAAGACAAAAAGUUCCUGCUAACACUGGCAUCACCGAGCAUUAUCGCAUCUCAAGGCACAAACUUACAGCUCCAUAGAUCAAACAACAGAGCACAGCACACAUACACAAGGAUUAUAGGACAGUCAAAACCUAACCAUCAAGCAAUGAAUUGGGGAAAAGUCUUCUUUAGUUUCAGAAUACACAAAGCAAAAUCACAUCUCAAGUCUAUUGCAUUUAGAAUACACAUAUCAGAAUACACAAAAUAUACGCUGAAGAUUCUACGGAUAGGGAUAGAAUAUACAGUAAAGAUUACAAGCUCCUCCUCGUCGAUUGAGAUUACAGGAAGUAAAAACACUGAACUGGGACAGAGUAAAAACCUA